GAUGAACGCUGGCGGCGUGCUUAACACAUGCAAGUCGAACGGAAAGGCUCCUGCUUGCAGGCGUACUCGAGUGGCGAACGGGUGAGUAUCACGUGGGGGAUCUGCCCUGCACUUCGGGAUAUGCCUGGGAAACUGGGGCUAAUACCGCAUAGGACCACAUUUUGGCUGGGGUGGUGUAAAGUUUUUCGGUGUGGGAUGAGCUGUAGGGCUAUCAGCUUGCUGGUGGGGUAAUUGGAUACGAAAGCGUCGACGGGUAGCCGGCCUGAGAGGGGGUACAGCCACAAUGGGGCUACGGGACGGAGCAGACGCCUACGGGCGGCAGCAGUGGAGAGGAUUGCACAGUAAGGGCAAGCGUGAUGCAGCGGCGCCGCGUUGGGGAUGACGGCCUUCGAGGUGUAAACAACUUUCGCUAGAGACGAAGAACAAGUGACGGUACCUGAAGAAGAAGCACCGGCUAACUACGUG
rnacentral:rRNA from 1 species